GCCUCUGUAGCUCAGUUGGUUAGAGCACUGCACCGGAAUCUCAGGGUCGCAGGUUCGAUUCCUGCCAGGGACC
rnacentral:tRNA from 1 species